rnacentral:rRNA from 1 species
GCAGCCGCGGUAAUACGUAGGUGGCAAGCGUUGUCCGGAUUUACUGGGUGUAAAGGGUGCGCAGGCGGGACUGCAAGUUGGAUGUGAAACUCCGAGGCUCAACCUCGGAACUGCAUCCAAAACUGUGGUUCUUGAGUGGAGUAGAGGUAAGCGGAAUUCCGAGUGUAGCGGUGAAAUGCGUAGAUAUUCGGAGGAACACCAGUGGCGAAGGCGGCUUACUGGGCUCUAACUGACGCUGAGGCACGAAAGCAUGGGUAGCAAACAGGAUUAGAUACCCC